UGGCUAACCUGCUGGGUAUGGGAUUCAAAGCCACAACCUUCUGGAGAUGGAUACCGACCCCAAUCCCACUGAGCCACAGCCUACCCACUAUCCAGUGACUGCAUCUGAUGUGCAAUUUUCUGCAAGUAACCAAGGAAAGUAUUGAAGUAUAAAUUUAAAUGUACUGUCAUGUGAUUUUGUCAUGUGUGUUGCCGCCCCCUCAUGUAUAGAUUCUAAAAGAAUAUCAUUUUUCCGUCGUGUGGAAUGAAAACCCGCAGUGUGGCCAUUGGAUUGUACACCUGUCGGCCCACCCCUCACUCACACUCCGGGGUGUAUGAAUCCCUAAGAACCACAGAACCUGCAAGCGACACAACCGGCGCGGUGGAUCAGCGGCCGGCGCCGGCUCAGGGCCCAGCACCCGUGUUGGUCAGACUCCGACAUGAGGUCUCCCACUUCGUGUGUUUGAUCAGCGGGCUGCCGCACCUUGGCAGCGAGACUCUUCCACUUGCCGCCCCCCCGGCCCGGCGUCACCCUGGAGACUCAGCAAGUUCCCGUGUAGAUGGCUCCGCGUCGACGGGUGACUCAUUUAUCUCCCCAUAGCUAUUACUGUAACCACUGGAGACGGAUCCUCUGCGUGUGCCUGUGAGAUAAUGGCAGAAAGUUCAGGUUCAGACAGUGCAAAUCCAGACCAAGGUUUUGUUUCAACCAACCAUUUGAGUAUAAAGAGUCACAUUCACAGAGUACUCAACUGGUUGGUUGAAACAAAGUCUAGGUCUGGAUUGGUAUUAUCUGAACCUGAACUUUCCACCUCUGCUGUGAACGCGGGGACAUGGUAUGGGGAUUUCAGAGCUGGUUAGGGGUCAACUCAUCUUGUGUAAAAUGUCCCUAUUUGGGACCCGGACGUAUGAUCGAAGAUAUCAGCAGUUACUUUUAUUUUCAAAGUAUAAGAAUAACAACCGCUGUAAACAGCCAUUUGACAGCAUUUGGCUCUUGUGAAGGAACAUUCGUCUUGGCCAAACAUUCGAAACUGGAGGCCUCCUUCUCCUCGUGUGAUGUAAUGGAUUCACUUCGACACAUCCAGAUCCGAGGUAACUCUUGGUAGAUCACUCAGCUCGCAAUCACAAAGCAAACUAAUUGUCUUUGAACUGUGCACCAGAAUUGAAGGCAUCUAAUUAUGGGUCAAUAAACCGGCAACCGAA